AUGUUGCGUGACAUACGGCAACAUUCCAACACAUCAAAGCUUUCUGAGGGGUUUGAUCUUUCAGAGUGUUCAGCAACAUUCUAAGAGAUCAAAGCUUUACGAGGCUUUCAUCUCUUAGAAUGUUCAGCUAAAGUUUACAGGUGCUUCAUGGAUCAUCACACACUGAACGUUUUUCAUUUGAACAAACGAAACUUGAACGUGAACAGCCAGGAGAGCAGCCCAGCUAACAGCAGCCAGAGCCGACCCAGCCAGGAGGAGAGUCUGUCAGAGGGAAACAGAGACUCACACCAAGAAGGUGACACACAGAGCACAGGUCCAGAAAUCAGGGAGUCAUCUCGCUUAACAGAGCAGAUAGAGGAGCAGAAUGACCAAGAAAAUGAGCCCUGCGAGGAAGAAACGCUUUCACAGACCGACUUAAAUAAAAGUGGGGACGUGGACAGCCAGGACAACCACCAGGU
rnacentral:lncRNA from 1 species